rnacentral:rRNA from 1 species
UACGUAGGGUGCAAGCGUUUGUCCGGAAUUAUUGGGCGUAAAGAGCUCGUAGGCGGUCUGUCGCGUCUGCUGUGAAAACCUAGGGCUUAACUCUGGGCGUGCAGUGGGUACGGGCAGGCUAGAGUGCGGUAGGGGAGACUGGAAUUCCUGGUGUAGCGGUGAAAUGCGCAGAUAUCAGGAGGAACACCGGUGGCGAAGGCGGGUCUCUGGGCCGUAACUGACGCUGAGGCGCGAAAGCUAGGGGAGCAAACAGG